rnacentral:ncRNA from 1 species
CGAGAAGUGAUGAUGAGGACACGAUCAAUUUUUUACGAUUCUCAGAGAGGGAAGCCUUUGGCUGUGAGCUUCCUAAUACGAAAAAAUGGAUUACCACCUCUGAACUGCAGCAGUGAACGAACAUCUAGUAAUUGCUUGCCGGCAAAAACCGUUAUUUUAGACUUGAGAAAUUGGUGAAGUGUGUUACUUUGCGAAUUGAAACAAGGGUGGAACCACGAAUAUAACACUCGUCCCUUUU